rnacentral:rRNA from 1 species
AUGGCGAUCUCGCCCCUCCGCUCCCUCCCCCUCCCCCUCCUCCUCCUCCUCCUCCUCCUCCGCGCCUUCGCCUCCCUCCCCACGCAAGCCGCCGCGAGAGGCGGCCUCGGCCCGCCGCCAGGAAUCGCCGUUGAUAAACAUGGGGCAUUUUCGCGUGGUCUUCUUCAGGAUCAGCCUGAGAUCACGGAAGAAAUGGUUCGCGGAUAUAUGAGCAACGCUGAACUUGAGGGCGCUAUACAAGACUUUGGGAGGCGCUGUGCUAAUGUUUCCAGGAUAUACAGCAUCGGGAAGAGUGUAAAUGGUUCCCCAUUGUGGGCCAUUGAAAUAUCAGACAAGCCUGGGCUAAAAGAAGCUGAACCAGCAUUCAAGUUCAUUGGGAAUGUCCAUGGCGAUGAGCCUGUUGGAAGAGAGGUCCUUAUGCAACUUGCGUAUUGGCUGUGUGAUAACUACCUGAAGGAUCCUUUGGCAACUCUCAUUGUGGAGAACACACACCUUCAUAUACUUCCAUCAAUGAAUCCAGAUGGAUUUGCUCUUAGAAGGCGUGGUAAUGCAAACAAUGUUGAUCUCAACAGGGACUUUCCUGACCAAUUUUUCCCCAACAACGAUGAUAUUAAGCAACGGCAACCUGAAACUAGAGCUAUUAUGAACUGGAUAAAGCAAGAACACUUCACAGCCUCUGCUAGUUUGCAUGGGGGUGCUCUUGUUGCAAAUUAUCCAUGGGAUGGAUCUAGAGAUACAAGAAAACAGUAUUAUGGAUGUCCUGAUGACAAGGCAUUCCGUUACAUGGCGUCAAUGUACAGUCAGUCACACUAUAACAUGUCUUUGAGCAAGGAAUUCGAAGGAGGCAUUACAAAUGGAGCACUGUGGUAUCCAAUUUAUGGCGGCAUGCAAGACUGGAACUAUAUACAUGGAGGCUGCUUUGAGUUAACACUUGAAAUUAGUGAUGUAAAAUGGCCAAAAGCAUCCGAGCUUCUUGUCAUAUGGAAGCAAAAUAAGAUGAGCAUGCUCAACCUUGUUGCAAGCCUUGUAAAGACAGGAGUUCAUGGAAGGAUAUUUGCUGCAGAUACUGGCCGUCCUAUACCGGGAUCACUCAUGGUGAAGGGAAUCGAUUCAAAGAUAAAUGCUAGCGGAACUUUUGGCGAUUACCACCGGAUUCUUGCACCUGGUCAGAGUUAUGAAGUCGUUGCGUCGAUGGAGGGCUUCAAACCGAAAAGAACACGUGUCAUGCUGGGGCGUGAAGCCACGAAUCUGGACUUCAUCUUGGACCCAGACGGAGCCCUCAGGGGGACCAAGCCGCUGCGCAACGACUGCGGCUGCAGUUGCAACGACGACGGUGGCAGCAACAAGCCGUUCCUCCUCCGGGAAGCUUACCUCUGGCUGUAUCUCCUGGUCCUGUUCUUCCUGCUGGCCCUCUACCUUCUCUUGAGGAGGAGAAUGGCCUCGAGGCUCGCGGCGCAUCGGCAUUCUCCUCCGAAGCGGACUGUUGCCGUGUGA